UACGGAGGGGGCUAGCGUUGUUCGGAAUUACUGGGCGUAAAGCGCACGUAGGCGGCUUUGUAAGUUAGAGGUGAAAGCCCGGGGCUCAACCCCGGAACAGCCUUUAAGACUGCAUCGCUUGAACGUCGGAGAGGUGAGUGGAAUUCCGAGUGUAGAGGUGAAAUUCGUAGAUAUUCGGAAGAACACCAGUGGCGAAGGCGGCUCACUGGACGACUGUUGACGCUGAGGUGCGAAAGCGUGGGGAGCAAACAGG
rnacentral:rRNA from 1 species